rnacentral:lncRNA from 1 species
AAAGAAGAAAGACAAAGAUAAGUUUUCUGAAAUGAUUAUGAGAAAAGAACAGUUAUUGAUGAUACAAAGUUUAAUUGUGUAUACAGACCAAACAGGAUUUUAAUCUCAUCGCCCCCUGUGGUGGAAUCAAUUUCUACUUAGCCCCCGUUCUAAAAUAAAAUUAUAUAAGUAUUUAUUUUAAUUCAAAAUAUUAGUAAAAGACAAUUAUAUUGAGGGUUUUCAACUUAUUUACAGAUCCAACCUAUGUUUGGGUCAAAUAUCCAACAAAAUUAGGUUUAAUUUCGGAUCUUUCUCUUAUUUCUCAAACAAAUCCUAAUCCUAAAAAUGACAGUUCUCCCACUCUCGACAGUCCGUCGUUUUCUUUUUUCUCUCUACCGGUGACUGAGAUUUCCCGAUUUCAUAGUGCACUCCUUCAUCUUCUUCUUCCAAAAUUUCGUUUUCUUCUUCUGGAUCCUCUUGUUUUAGUCGAUACCAUCUUCUUCCUAUUUCUUCUUCACUCGUUUCUCCGUGAAUCUGAGAUAGCCACCGUGAAUCCGAGAAAUCCACCGUGAAUCCGAGGAAUCCGCGGUGAGAAAUCUUCUGUGUCUUCUCUUUGUAAAAAUUCUUUUGUUUGAUCCAUAUAUUUUGAUUGAUCCGAGAUAUGGUUUGAUUUUUUUCUUUGAGCGAUUGAUUGUGUUGUGUUGGGUAUAAUAAUGGUUUGAUUUUGUUUGAAACAGAUGGAUUAUAAAUGAGUUUUCGAUUGAAUUAGGUUUAUUUUCUUUUUUUUGAGGGUUUAAUAAGGAUCCUUCGAUUGAUUGUGUUGUGUUGGGUUUAAUUGGAUUCUGGUUUAAUUAAAGUUUGAAACAAAUGGAUUAAGGUUUCUUUUGUUUGAGUGUGUUGGGUUUUGAUGAUUUAUGGAUGGAUUGUAUUGGGUUUUGAGGAUUUUGAUUUGUGGAUUGAUUUUCAGAUUUCAAUUUGUCUUGUUUUCCGAUUUGAAUUUGUCCAAAUGUUCGGGUUUGAAUUUUUCAUUUAGAUACAAAUAGUGUGUUUCGGAUUUUCUAAUAUUUGUUGAAAAAUCCAAACUUUAUCUCUUGAGAUUAUGUGAGUUUGUGUUUGUGUAAGUAGAUAGAUAUUGAAAUUGUAUUUGUUGUUGCAGGUAGUAAUUACAAUGGCUUAUACUUAAGAAAAGGCGAAGAAGGAAAGGAAGAAGGAGAAGGAGAAGGAGAAGGAGAAGGAGAAGGAGAAGGAGCAAGAGAAGAGUUUGGCUCUUAUUUUGGUCUCUGAUGAUGAAUAUCGCCUGUUUUCUUGUGUGUGAUGUUGAUGUAUAAAUUUGUGUUUAGGUACAACUGGUACGAUUAGGUACAACUAUGUUUCUGGGUUUAUAUAUUUUGAUUAGGUAUGAAUCUGUGUUUAGGUACAACUGGUACGACUAGGUACAACUAUGUUUCUGGGUUUAUGUAUUUUGAUUAGGUAUGAAUCUUUGUAUCUGAAUCUAAUUAUCUAAAAUUUGCCCAAAAAAAAAAUCUAAUUAUCUAAUUAUGUAUGAAUAUUUUAAUCUGAAUCUUAAUAUUUUUAUGUAUGAAUCUAUGUAUUGAAUAUAAUCUAAGGGUUUUGAACCAAAAAAAAAAAAUCUAAAUUAAUCGAAAAAUCUGACAAAUAUGUGGGUUUGUAAGGGUUUUGGAAAAAAAAAAAAUAGUGAAUCUACCUGGCGCCGUUAUUCUGAAAAAAUCUGACAAAUGGCAUACCUAGCGCCGUUGUUUUGAAAACAAUUAUUAAAUAAUAGCUCAAAUUUGUUCAUAGUUGUACAGUUGUACUCGGUUGCACAUUUUUGCUCAUAGUUGUACAAUACAGAGAUUUUAGUAAAUCUAGUUGUUAUCAACUCUAAUUUAAUUUUUGUUGGUCGAACCGAUGGUAUUGCCUCAUAAAAAUACCAUUACUUUGUAUUUGUGCAUUUAUAUUUAUCAAAAUACAAUUAUUUCAAAAAUUUAUAAAAUUUUAGUUCAAAUCUACAAAGUAACCAUGAAAGUAUAAGGUUGUUAAUGUAUGAAUGUGAGAUUUUGAGUAAGAAUUUCAGUAUUUUUCAAAAAUAUGAAAUUUUUUGUCAAAAACUUGUUGUGUAGUUUCAUUACCAUCGUGUAUGCAUUUUUUAAGUUUUUUUUAAUUUGGUUUUAAAUUUUCAUAUUAUAUAAAAUUCUGAAAAUUGGCUAAGGCAUUAGACCUUAGAUGUACCUGUGGUACUUAGUUGUACCCAGACUGACAACUUGCACAUAUACGAGAAGAAAAUCAACCAUAGUUGUACCUGUUAAAACUUAGUUGUACAACACAGAACAUAUAAGUUUCACAAACAAAACCAAUACAAACAACAUCGUUUUUAAAUUAACCUAAUAAAUAGCAUUGAGAAAUCAACUUUGGCCACCCGCAUCGUCUCCAUCGUCUUCAUCAACGCCCAAACCGCUCGAUCCAUGCGACCUCUUCUUACGUCCUCUUCCUCUAUGUUCUCCAACGGAGGGAAAUCUUGUUUCUUGUCUUCUUCCUUGUUUUACCUCAUAAUCCGGAGGAUAGGCAAACAAUUGCAUUAUCUCCUCAGGAAGAACCCAUUGACUAUUAUGGGGAACCGGAUAAAUUGUCCUCGUAUACGCCAAAACCCAAAGCUCGAUCCAAUAAUACUUUGAGCACAAAUCAUGUGCCCGGAGAUCGGGAGCUGCAUCCUUGUUUGCCGUAAGUGUAGCCGCUAUUGCAUGCACACAUGGAUACUUGUCUAUAUCAAAACGUCUACAAUUGCAUGUUUUGCUUCUCAAAUCAACCAAAUAAGCCCUUCUUCACUCACAUCCUCAUAAUAACACACAACAUCUUCAUCAUCACGAAUAUAAUUUGGUCUUAGCUUACGUCCUUUGAAUGUGAAGGGAAAGUAACUAACUCUCAGCUUUGUCGUAGCCUCAUCUACCUUUUUCUUUCUGCAAAUCUUCUCAACCAUCUUAACAUAUGAUACUUCCCCUUUCGAUUUAUUCAUAAGAAUAGAAUACACUUCUUCAUCUUCUCCAUUAGAAAUCCAAUGUACAUCUUCUCCGAUACUUGUAUAGUAUCCGUCAUAAGUAAAGCGUAUGACUGAAUUCCUUUUCAUUGUCCCUGAAAAACAAAGAGAGAAAAAACGGCCUAUAAUUUCACAACUUUUGUAGCAGACCAUCAACAUAGUUGUACCCAUUUGUCCCAGUUGCACCAAACUUAGGGUUUCCGUAAAUAUUCUACUUAGUUGUACCCAGUGGUUUCAGUUGUCCCAAAAUCUGCAACCCUAAAUUAUUUCAACAAAUAACCCUAUUCAAGCUACGAAUUCAAUUUAAUCAUACUACACUAAGAGAACAAGUAUACUUACCUUACAGUAUGGUGGGAAUAGAAGAAGAAGAAGAGAAGAGAUAUGUCUUUGGAGAUGCAAGCUUUAAUGGUGAGCUUCAAUGGUAGAUGGAGAAGAAGAAGAAGAAGAAGAACGUCGGAGCUGCAACGUCGGAGCUACUGAAGAACGCCGGAGCUGCAACGUCGGAGCUGUUGAAGAAGAAGAGGAAGAAAAAGAAGAAGAAGAAGAAGAAGAAGAAAGUCUUGUAGGUUUAAUAUCGUAAAAGGUGAGACAUUUUGGUAGGUUGUUUUUUUUUAAUGAGAGAAGAGUGGGAAAUUUUUUGAUUGGUUGAAUAAAAAAUGUGUUGGCAUUAAAUUAAAUGUAGAAUUAAAAGGAUAAGGGGUAGAGUUGGUUUAUGAAAAAAUUGGGAAGGAGGGGGGUAGUGAGAAUAAAGAGGGGUUUUCCAAAAAUUGAUUCUCCCCAAAAGGGCUAGAGAGAUUAAAAUCCGACCAAACAUCAUGUACAGGUCAAAUUCUUAUGGAAGAAGCAGAGACAAUGUCAUCUUUUUAGCAGUCGAUUAAAUCUGGGAACUAUAUUAAAGGUUAGUAAGAUAAUAAGGAUAACAACUUUGUUUACUUGAUUAAAAUAUAUAGCUAUUGUUAUAUAUGAAUUGGUAGGUGUUGUUAUACAAUUAGAAUUAGUAGAAUUGUUAUAGAAUCAAUUUUUAUGCAAACACUGUUAAAAUGAGUUACCUAAAUUAGAGAUUAGCAAUAGAUUAACUUCUGCUAUUGUUUGAUAAUACUUAAUCAUCCUUAUUGAUUAUGUUUAUGAAAACGUUAACGUCAUAUUGCCUGAUAUGAAAUUAAAAAUACAGUAAACUUUUGAAAAAAUAAGUUCGUGUUUUGAUCUAAAUGUUUAAGUUCUUUGAAAAAGGAAAAAAGAAAUUAACAGAUUUGGGAUUCUAAAAAACAUCAUUUCUUCCAUGGAAAAUGAUUUCAAUAACACCAAAUCUCUUUAAAUGCAAGUUUUGAAACCAACUUGUACCUGUAGACACAUAUAAAAAAUGAGAUUAUUAUAGUAUAGCAGACAUCGAUAACAAUCAUUUCUUAUAGGUUGUGACCUCUUAGAUCAAAUGUCUCUUGCAAAGCAUUGUCUUAUAGGUUUUGAAAAACUGAUUUAUUUGUGCUAGUGAAUUAUAUAUCUAGUUUAAUUUCUGAAAAUACCCGGUGUCUCGCAGUUUAAACCCAUGUUUUGUUACCUGAUACUUCUUCAUAGAUUUGAAAAGUGUAAAAUUUUUCACAAUUCUCCUCUCAAGAUUUGAUGAACCUUUGAAGCUUGUUCACUUGUUUUUUAAUAGUAGCAUAAAUCAAAGUACCCUAUAAAGAAGAUAAAUACACUCGUGUUAAUAAUAGGAUGACCUUAAUUAUUAAUAUACGUUUGUAAUUAGUAUAAUAUGAAGAGAAAAUGAAAUCUAU